GGGGGUAUAGCUCAGUUGUAGAGCGCAUGCUGAGCAUGCAUGAGGUACUGGGUUCAAUUCCCAGUACCACCA
rnacentral:tRNA from 1 species